UUUACCCUGCCUUUGCUCGUGAUCAGAAACAAAGUCCUUGAACCGUAAUAAAACAACUAAGGAGCCCUGGCCAUAGAUGGUGGCCGACAGGCCUUAACUGGAAGUCGAAAGCCGUCGGGCGGGUUCCACCUGUUUCGAGACAGUUCAGAGGAACUGUUACACACGGCAUGGGUGGGGUUUUU
rnacentral:other from 1 species